rnacentral:rRNA from 1 species
UUAGUCUUUUAAUUGAGGACUGGAAUGAAGGAGUAAACCGGGAGAAUUUUUUUUAAGUUAAGAAAAUGAACUUUACUUUUUAGUAAAAAGGCUAAAAUAAAUCUUUUAGACAAGAAGACCCUAUAAAACUUUAUAUUUUUAAAUUCUAGAGGAUUUAAAGGUAUUAGGCUGGGGUGGCAGAGAAAAAGAUCUUUUUUUAAAGAAAGGAACGUACUUGUUAAAAUAUCUAGAAGUUCUAAAAAAGGAAUAAGUUACUUUAGGGAUAACAGCUUAAUUUACUUUGAAAGAUCAAAUUGACAAGUAAGUUUAGGACCUCGAUGUUGAAUUAAAA